GGGGAUAAAAGCCUCGUGACUUGAACUCUGUAAUAAACUUCGCUACUUAGCCAUCAAUGCUUUCUUUGCUGUUUUGACUUUGAGUCUCUUCUCUGGAUAGCUUUAUACAAGUAACAGCAGUGGGUAGAAGCAGUCGCUGGAAUCAGCAGGAGAGCAGCAUGUGCCACGUGUCUGUCUGUCUCUGUGUGUAUAUCUAUAUCUAUCCAUCUAUAUAGUACCUGAAAAUUAAACAGCUUUCCAAUGUAGCUUUUGGGUGAAUUACACCACCUGCCAAGCCUGUGGGAAUGGACCCCUGAGUGGUGAUUUCAGUUAUAAACUUCCUUAGAGUAAGUCUUGGAUUAUGAAUCGGCUUCAAAAACUGGUUUUCAGACUCUCUCACAGCAGGAAGAAAAUCACUAAAAUUGUUUGCUGCUUCCUUUGAGAAGAAGCUUAGUACAAACUACUGUAGUCUUUCAUCUGGAUGGGGCAAAGACCAACCUAAGUCAAUUGUGGAAGAACAGAAGACAGAAAUGAUGAAGAUGCCUCUUUUCAGUCACUAAGCAGAAUGGAAACUGCAGUCAAGAAAUCAGAAGACUGGGACUUUAGAUGGGCAGCUAUGAGGGAAACAGACAUACCCCUGAAGUAUAAAGGCCCCAACUCUUCUGGGCUUUAGGAAAACCCUAAAGACAUGGUUAUGUGAGCAAGCAUUUAAUGACCCUCCAAGCCAUCUUCUACUGUGGUCUAGAAGAUUCAUCAAUCCAAACAAACAAGCAAACCCCAAAAUUACAACAACACCCCAGCUGUGGGCAAAGACUUAAACAGGUAGGAGAAAUAAGUGAAAAUCAGGAAGCCCAACCAGUAAAAGAGCAGAUAUACCUUUAUGGCAAGCAAUACAACUUCUUCAUCCAAAUCAAGAUGUCUGUUUUUCAGGCUACAGCAGAUUUUGAUAGGCAAAGGCACCAAGCCUGGAUGGAACCAGAAUGAGACAACAUUUAUAGACAGAUGAUACACUACAGAUUUUUCAUGGACUACAUAAUCUUACCCUGGCGGGGAUUUCUGUCUGUAGCAAUAGGCAAGAAUGUACCCAAAUCUUGAAAGUGGAAUUUCAACCCUUGUAAGACUCAGAACUUUCUUGAAUUUUCAAAUCAAAUGUACUAAGCAUUUGGUUAAAUAAAAUUGUAUUCUUAUAUACGCUUAUUUAAAACUAAUCCCAACUGCAAACAGUGAGCCUUCCUUUCAAAUAAAAGGCUUCAAUGCUACUGUGAAUUGUAAGGUAUCCAUCAAGUUAUACAUAUAUCAGUUUUCAUUCUUGUACCAUUGUGGUAUAUUCUUGACUAUUUAUGCUUAUUCCAUGUGAGCUUUUGAAUUGUCAUAAGUUUUGAAGUAACUAUGAAGAUAAAUGAGCCAAGAGGUGUCCUUGGUGACUACAGUAGAGUCUCACUUAUCCAAGCUAAACUGGCCAGUAGAAGCUUGGAUAAGCGAAUAUCUUGGAUAAUAAGGAAGGAUUAAGGAAAAGCCUAUUAAACAUCAAAUUAGGUUAUGAUUUUACAAAUUAAGCACCAAACAUCAUGUUUUACAACAAAUUUGACAGAAAAAGCAGUUCAAUACGCAGUAAUGUUAUGUUGUAAUUACUGUAUUUACGAAUUUAGCACCAAAAUAUCACGAUAUAUUGAAAACAUUGACUACAAAAAUGGCUUGGAUAAUCCAGAAACUUGGAUAAGCGAGGUUUGGAUAAGUGAGACUCUACUGUAUUUUCAAACUUAAUUCAUCAAUUCUUUUCUUUGCCAAAUCCUCAGAUUUCCUAUGUAUGCUUUAUACAUAUAUUUGGGAUCCUUCAAUUUCAAAAUCCCUUUGUAUCUAAUAAAACAGAUAACAGAGGGAGGUUAUGUGAGCUAUUUGUGUUUCCUGUAAUAUUGAAUUAUUUUCUAGCUACCAGUUUUCAAAAUCUGCAUAUGAGAAACACUUUCAUCUCCUUUCCUUCAACAGAUAACAAAUACUAGUAAAACAUUAAUGUGAUAUAAUA